GAGGGGUAACAGGGAGUGCUUGCACUCUGCUGACGACCGGCGCACGGGUGCGUAACGCGUAUGCAAUCUACCUCUUACUGAGGGAUAGCCCAUGGAAACGUGGAUUAAUACCUCAUAGUAUUAUAGACUGGCCUCAGUUUAUGAUUAAAGGUUACGGUAAGAGAUGAGCAUGCGUCCUAUUAGCUAGAUGGUAAGGUAACGGCUUACCAUGGCUACGAUAGGUAGGGGUCCUGAGAGGGAGAUCCCCCACACUGGUACUGAGACACGGACCAGACUCCUACGGGAGGCAGCAGUGAGGAAUAUUGGACAAUGGGCGAGAGCCUGAUCCAGCCAUGCCGCGUGCAGGAAGACGGCCCUAUGGGUUGUAAACUGCUUUUACAGAGGAAGAACCCUCCUUACGUGUAAGGAGCUGACGGUACUCUAUGAAUAAGGAUCGGCUAACUCCGUGCCAGCAGCCGCGGUAAUACGGAGGAUCCAAGCGUUAUCCGGAAUCAUUGGGUUUAAAGGGUCCGUAGGCGGGUCUAUAAGUCAGUGGUGAAAGUCUGCAGCUUAACUGUAGAACUGCCAUUGAUACUGUAGACCUUGAAUUAGUAUGAAGUG
rnacentral:rRNA from 1 species